rnacentral:siRNA from 1 species
GUGAUUGCAAUGAGUAUGCCUA